UACGUAGGCAGCAAGCGUUGUUCGGAGUUACUGGGCGUAAAGGGUGCGUAGGCGGCUUUUUAAGUUUGGUGUGAAAUCUCCCGGCUCAACUGGGAGGGUGCGCCGAAUACUGAGAGGCUAGAGUGCGGGAGAGGAAAGUGGAAUUCCUGGUGUAGCGGUGAAAUUCGUAGAUAUCGGGAGGAACACCGGUGGCGAAGGCGGCGAUCUGGGUCGAUACUGACGCUGAGGUGCGAAAGCGUGGGGAGCAAACAGG
rnacentral:rRNA from 1 species